rnacentral:rRNA from 1 species
CACGUAUGGGACGAGCGUUGUUCGGAAUUAUUGGGCGUAAAGGGCGUGUAGGCGGUUCUACAAGCUUGGUGUGAAAUAUCUCGGCUUAACCGGGAAUGUGCGCUGGGAACUGUAGGACUAGAGUCUUAGAAGGGAAGCUGGAAUUCCUGGUGUAGGGGUGAAAUCUGUAGAUAUCAGGAAGAACACCAAUGGCGAAGGCAAGCUUCUAGCUGAAGACUGACGCUGAGGCGCGAAAGCGUGGGGAGCAAACAGGAUUAGAUACCCCGGUA